rnacentral:siRNA from 1 species
UUCUUGCCUUGUAAGACCCA